GAGCGAACAAUAUGUUUCGAUAGGCACGUCGUCGUCAUCGUCGUCGGUCGCUCACUGUGUGUAUCAUUCGAACGCCUUUAGCCAUCCAUCCAUCGAGAAUGAACUGCAUGAUUCAGUUUGUUUGGAACUGUUGACGAGACCAGUGUGUUUUUGCCAGUGAGUCGCGCGCCGCGAUUUAUACACAGAGUGAAUUUUGAAUGAAUUCUUAUUUGAUGUGAUUUGCUUGCCGUGUGGUCGAACUACAGUCAAGUUCUACACGACGACUUUGAUGCGUUUCAUCGUUUCGAUGCGGUGAAUAAAACGCAUGUUUAGGUGGAAAAAUCAUCGAAUCGCCGCCGCGUACAGCAAAUGAACAAAAAAAAUAAAACGGAAAAACGGAUUUUUCUUUUCAGUGGAACAGAAAAGUUUCUCAUUUUCUUCUUGGAGGUUUUUAUUUUCUCCAUUUGAGUUUUUGAGUGAAUAAUUGGAAAGUGGUGAAAGGAAUUGAAAAAAAGUACAUAACAACACAACGGCAUAAUUCGCUCAUUCAAGAAAACUUAAAACAAAAGUGAAUGCGGAAAAACAAUGAAAUUUUCAUAAGGACUAAAACAAAAGGCAAAAUAAAGUGAGAGAAAAACACAGAGAUUUUUGUUUGUGUGUGUGAAGAAGAAGAAGAAGAAGAAAACAAGAACGAAAAAUUGUGAAUACUAGUGAUUUAUUUGCAAGAAAAAGGAUUGUGAGCAAAAAGUAAACUGCAAAAUAAACCGAUUGUUUUCUGUAAAGAGCAAAAACAAAACACACUGAUUGUUUUUCGCGAAAUUGUUGAACAAAAUUCCCGGAUUACCAAUUAUUUCCCAUUCGGAUUGUCUUUGAUUGGGAGGCCAAACAACACGAAUCUCUCGGAUUUCGUACACAUUAAUCGAGAAUCAACUGAAGAGCGAGAUCGGAGGAGAAAAAAAAACACCGAUCCGAAAAGUAAAGACAAAGCUGACAAACGAUUUCGCAGUGUGUCGUACAGUCGAAGUGAGUGUGAGAAAAAAUAACAACAACAACAACAGCAACAACCGCAUAGAGUGACGAAUAUUUUUAGCGAAGCGUGUUUUUGUGAAAUAAACAGAGAUUGAAACUCAAGUGAUACAGAUAAAAGACAAAGACGAAUCAAAAUAAAUCGCCCAAAAACGUUACACACGGAAAAUACAAUUAAAGGCACAUGCUAUUAUUGAUUUUUCGUUCCGUUCUGGUAACACGGUUCCUUUUUUUCUCUCUUCGGUGAAGUGACUCUUGAUAUCGUCGAAUGGAUAAGAAAAGCCGCGCGUAUUUAUAAUAUACAUCACAAAGCACAAAGCUUAGUCGAUCCAUUUCAAUUCAGCAAAUUAAAGGGCAGGCAAUAAGCAAGAGCGGACAUUUCAAAUCGAAACAAAUUACACAUCGUGUGUUAUCGUUACAGCGUUGCUCAAUACACCAUCUCGGAAUAUUUUGACGUAAGUUUGGCUAUUUCUUAUUUCAGCUUCAGUUUCAUUCCUUCGAUUUUCUCGGGUGGCAGUGUUGUUGUUCUUGCUUUCGUUUUAUUUAUUAUUGCUCAAUAGACGUUUAUUACUAAAUCAUAAUGUUCACCACAAAUCUCUUCGAAAUAAGCGGUGGGUCGACUGGAAAACUUGAAAUGCGUGAAUACACUUAUUUUGAAAACAAACCGCCACCAUCACCAGCUCUUUCGUCCUUCGAAAAAGUUGGUAAUAUAAAUUGGUGGUCAUAAAAAACAAACAGGUAAUGAAUUCGUUUGACUGUGCUCAAAGCUCGCUUCGAUGGAUCCACUCUCUGCGUCAUGCGCUUGCCCGCAUAAAAAUGGAAUUGUUAUAAGCAGCAGCAGCAGCAAUCAGAGCGGUUGAAGUGUGUGGCUGAAGGGAAAUUAUGGCAUUUUCAGUUCAACUUUUAUCGAUCGGCUUGGAAUCAAAUUCAUACACACGCAAAACACCUCUUACUUCUGAUGCGCUUAAAAUGCCAGAAAAUGGCUAGCUGUUGAAAUUGAUAAAAUUAUUUCACUUUUCAUGUUAGUGAAAAGGGAAAAAAAAAACUUUUUAUCGACUUCUUGACGCAGUUGUUUACUGCAAGAAAAACUUUCAAUUCCGACGACGGAGCAAAAACUUGGACAACAUUUGAAUGUGCAAUGGCAGAAUGGCUGGCAGAAUAUAUAGGAAGAAGAAUGGUUUGACAGGAAUCGAGAGGGAAGAAAGCACAAUUCGCAAAGUGCUUACCAUUCAAAAAUUCUUGAAACUUGCACCAAACAAUAUGCUUUUCGCAUUGAAAAUCAGAGAAGCGAUGAAUGAAACUCCAUCCAAACUUUAAUAUUGCUCGAGGUGAAAUGAAGGACAGUAACACUAUUCAAAUCAACAUGUUUACCAUUCAACGCAUUUCGCCCGAGCUCUAUCCAGUACAAAUUCAUUCACCAUUGUCUGCCAAUAAAACGAACUACCUUUUUUCUCUUUCUCUCCCACACUCGCUUCUUUUUGCUCUUACUCCCUCAAAACGUGCGUCUGACUCUCGACGUGGUGCACGGAAUUACCUUUGGAGAGAAGAUAAAAAAAAUGUUUGAAUUUCGUUUUCGUGCACAAGCCAACAAAUGAUUAAAGAUAUCCAAAGAAGAACGUAGCACACAAAACACACAUACACUCUCAUUUAUCCUCUUCAGUCCCAGUCGAUGAAUUUUUCAUUCGCACAUUUGGCCAAUUGUUUCUCCAGCUCAUGGUGGCGUUGUAGUUCUUUUUUUUUUUAAUUUAGCAAAUUUCAUGGACGAAAAAAAGCAAAUAAUAAAUUGAAAGUAUGGCCAUAAACAUAUAACAUUCUUCACUGUCCAGGUUUUUGUCGAUGUUGUUAUUGCUGCUAGUGGUUGCUGUUAUUCCAGACAGAUUUUUCCCUUUGCGAACAUUUUUGGCUGCAUCAUUUUUUUAUGCUGCAGACACACAUACACACACACACUUCAUGAGUGAUAGACACUAAAUCAAAAUCUACAAUGGCAUUGUUUACAUUUUUCUACACCUGAAUGCUUUACGUGCAUUUUACAUGCAUGUCCAGUGCACCAUGGCCAUUGCCAGCAGAUUUGAUAGAAUGGUAUUUAUUUUGUGCUGUGCUUUGUUUGACUUGGCUACAUCAACGGAGAAAAAAUGAGCUCGUCCGAAAAAUUGCUCAUCUGGAGCAAACUUUUGGAGUGCACAACAGUUGCCACCCCGACAUUGAGGCAGAUUAUUUUAUCAAAUGUUUACUUUCACUUUUUUAGUUUAUUUUGAAUUCGAUAUUUUCUUGUUCGAUCGAAUCGCAAGCUUUGUUUAAAAUCGAAAUAUUUUUUUUUAAACCAAAACCUUAGUUCUUAGACAAUCAAACAUGUAAUUCAAUCCGAAAGCCAAUUUUGCACACAAAAUAUCUCCCAUUCAUUUGAUACCAGGCUCAGUCAAGGGAGUGUCAUCCAAACACAACCGAAAUACCUGUGCAGUUCUGAUCUGUGUGCGCUAUUUGGUGAGAAAAGCAACAAAACUGUGUAUCGCAUUUUCAUUUUAUUACAUUUGGGGUUGAAGUAACCAUAGAACGGUGUAUUUGCUCAAGUCCGAGCGUUCGGUGUGUGUUCUUUUUCGGUAGCGACAACAACAAAAAACUUGCCAAAUCUCCGUUUUAUCCACACAUUUACCGGGUAAAGAAAAUAUUUUUUCUGAUUCGUUCACGGGCUACACGAAAUGGGAAAAAAAACUUUUUAAUAUUUUUAUUUACUUUUUCUGAAUUUUCUCUGUUUCUCUCUUCGUCGUCGACCGAAUAGAAGAAGAAAAAAUAAAUGCGAAACUGAACUAAUUUGAAUACAAUGGGCAUGAGCAGGAAAAGUAAACAAUAAGUUGGUCAAAGUAAGCGUUGUUGGCUUGUAUUAUUUGGUAACAUGGUUUUCAUCGUUCAUAAAAUAUGAACCAGAGUUGGCAUCUAGUUGUAUGAUGCGUCAAUUUUCCACACUGACCAUCGAUUUAUUUCGUCAUUUCAGUGAUUUUUAUCCACACUUAGACCUGUCAAAAAAUGAUCCAUAAAAUUGGUUCGAUUGCAGUUUGGCACAAAAAGUCGUUGCUUUUCAUGCAUAAAAAUAAGUUGUUCAUAUAUCAUUGGUGCGAGAAAAAAAAUGAAUUGAAAAAUUCGCAUAAAGGUAGAUGAGAUUUAUAGGCUCAACUUGGUUAGCACACUAAAUAAAUAAAUGAUGGAGAUGAUGAUGUUUUAUUUGCACAGGAUAUGAAUUCCAUGAACAUGAUUGCAUCACGAAAAUAGCCGAAAAAAAGACUUUCCAAAUAAUGUAACGAACGGAGUAGAGAGUUGAAAAAAUGUUUGCGUGGUUGUAACAAACGAAGAAUGGGAACGGGAGAGUCUAAACGAGUCCCACUUGAAAAUAUCGAAGUGGAAAAUCGUUCAAGGGGAUUUAAAUUCAUGCGAUACUCUUGUUGUGGAUUCUCAGAAAAGCGUUUUACACAACAGACGAGCAUGUAAUGCUUUUCCUGAAUUGACGACAAACAAUUCUCUUUCGAUCUCUCUCUCCUUUUCUCGCCCUCUCUCUGUGUAUAUAUCGAAUAAUGAACUCGCUUCUAUCAUUUGAAUACGUACACUUGAAAUGGUCAACGGAAUGAAAAAUAACUCAAGAGACAAAUCCAAACAAAUGAAAAUGAAUUUAAAAUCAACACGCUUCGAGAGAGAGAGAGAGAGAGUGAGAUCACGAUAACAAUGUGCGCGUUACAAUGGAUUCAUGUGCUUGAUCCAACAACACACGUUUCAAUGGCAAUGAAAAGCAUCAUCGAGCAACUUAUUACACAUCAGGACGUAGUUUUUUCCACUCUUUCGCUCACUACGAGGAUGGAAAAAAGAUGAAGGAACGACGUGAGCUCAAAAUCCAGCAUGAACAACAUGCUUUUUGUCUGUGAAGCAAAGCCAAGAGAAUGUUUUGACGACAAGAAAGGGAAGAAACAAUUAAAUACAUGCUCAUCGCACAUGUUUAUUCAAAAACAUUCUCUCUCACUCUCUCUCUAUGUGUGUGUUGGGAACUCAUGAAUUUCUUUUCACUUAUGUGCCAACCGGCCAACACCAUCUCGUUGCCAAAAUAACCAAUAUGCUUUUGCGUGUAAUAUUGCUCCAUGCAUACAUCAACAACAAGCGACUGUGUGUCCGGAUCUUAUCAUGUUUAAUAAUCUCCGUUCGUUCACUCGUUUCACCAUUUUUUUUUUCAUUUUCUUCUUUUGACUCUAAGCACUGCUGUCGCAUGUAUCGUUCGUAACAUAUUUGCCUGCAUGGUAUCAAGCACACAAAGCGUUCUCCAUCAUUUCAGAAUUUCAAUCUUUCAUUUAAUUCUGUUUGCCUGCGCUUGGCCAUACGAACACACAGAAACUGACUGCACUUAUCCUGUUCAGCAGACACUUUAUCAUAUACACUGCCCUGUUCGGCCCGGAUCGGCCCGCCUCUAUGCCAAUGUGCAUGUGUAAAUUUAAAUUAAAGGACUCUCUUGUUGAAUAUUAUGACGAUGAAGAUUUGCCGAUAGAUAUCAUGAUAAUUAUUUUUCGGGCACUCAACUCGCAUUUACAUAUUUAUACAUCGGUCUUUGAACUCGAAUUGUCUCUCUUUCUCUUUCACUGCUUUGUUUCUUUUUUUGCCUUUGUUUCCAUCAACUCGGAUACUAUCACAUAACGGACACACUCACUUCGGCUUCAUUAUUACUGUUGAUUUUUCACUCAACUCUCUCCGAAUUUUUCUCAUCGAUUCGAUCGCCACUACUUACUGCAUAGCAGAUUAGCACCAGAAUAAAUAGAGUGAGAGCGCGGGAAAGAGGGCGGAGUACAUGACGGCAAUCUUUGACAUUCAAACGAGUUGUUUACAUUUUACUCGACAAACGAAUUCGACGUUGGUCGUCGGUUUUUUUCCACUUUCAAUCUCAAUAUGUCUCCGUCACUAAUAAGAACGAGCGUAAACAACUGACGGAGUCUUUUUUUUUUAAAACAAAUUCACUUGAUUACUGUACAGCAUCUCGGUAAGGAUGAGGGCUGUUUAAUGUCUGAUACACAAAACACAUUUAAUUAAUAUUUAAUGCAAUAAUGCGCUACAGAAAUAUUUAAUUGAAUCAGUUACGAUGUGUUUUAUUCGCAACAUCGUCACCGCACUUUCUUCCGAUCCUGUGUCUGAAUCCAAUGUAAGAGCAAAUCGACCCAAUCACACCAUUUCGUGUUUACUUGUAAUUGUAACCAAGUGCAAACAAACCACCGUACAUUUUAAGCGCAAUAAAAAAUAGCUCCGUUUUUUUUUUUUGCUGAUGCAAACAGCAAGUCGCCUGAUAAUAAAAAAAAGAAGAUUCACGCAAAUUGCGAAAACAAAAUCGUGUGCCUUUAAAAUUUUAUGUGUGUUCUUUUCGGGAUUUCUUUUUUAUUCCGAGGCUACGACAACGACGACGACUACGAUGACGGUGAAAGUGUGGCUUACGUGCUGGAAAUUCAAUUACACGGUAUAAAACUCCGAAAAUGAUGCACACAAAGAAAGUAACCAUUGAAGAAAAAAAAAGGGAGAGAAAAAAAA